rnacentral:rRNA from 1 species
AACGAACACUGGCGGCAGGCCUAAUACAUGCAAGUCGAACGCACCUUCGGGUGAGUGGCGGACGGGUGAGUAACGCGUGGGAACGUGCCCUUUGGUACGGAACAACUGAGGGAAACUUCAGCUAAUACCGUAUGUGCCCUUCGGGGGAAAGAUUUAUCGCCAUUGGAGCGGCCCGCGUUGGAUUAGCUAGUUGGUGGGGUAAAAGCCUACCAAGGCGACGAUCCAUAGCUGGUCUGAGAGGAUGAUCAGCCACACUGGGACUGAGACACGGCCCAGACUCCUACGGGAGGCAGCAGUAGGGAAUCUUGCGCAAUGGGCGAAAGCCUGACGUAGCCAUGCCGCGUGAAUGAUGAAGGUCUUAGGAUUGUAAAAUUCUUUCACCGGGGAAGAUAAUGACGGUACCCGGAGAAGAAGCCCCGGCUAACUUCGUGCCAGCCGCCGCGGUAAUAC